AUUGAACGCUGGCGGCAGGCCUAACACAUGCAAGUCGAGCGAGCGGCGGACGGGUGAGUAAUGUAUGGGGACUGCCCGAUAGAGGGUGAUAACUACUGGAAACGGUGGCUAAUACCGCAUACUAUCGGAUAACCCAUAGGGGAUUAGCUAGUAGGUGGGGUAAAGGCUCACAUAGGCGACGAUCGCUAGCUGGUCUGAGGGGAUGAUCAGCCACACGGGGACUAAGACACGGCCCAGACUCCUACGGAGGCAGCAGUGGGGAAGAGUGCACAUUGGGCGCAAGCCUAAUGCAGCCAUGCCGCUUGUAUGAAGAAGGCCUUAGGGUUGUAAAGUACUUUCAGCGGGAAGGCGUUACCCGGAGAAGAAGCACCGGCUAACUCCGUGCCAGCAGCCGCGGUAAUAC
rnacentral:rRNA from 1 species